rnacentral:rRNA from 1 species
GACGAACGCUGGCGGCGUGCUUAACACAUGCAAGUCGAACGAUGAAGCUAGAGCUUGCUCUGGUGAAUUAGUGGCGAACGGGUGAGUAACACGUGAGUAACCUGCCCUUGACUCUGGGAUAACUGCGGGAAACUGUAGCUAAUACCGGAUACGACCCUCGGAGGCAUCUCCUGGGGGUGGAAAGAAUUUCGGUCAAGGACGGACUCGCGGCCUAUCAGCUAGUUGGUGAGGUAAAGGCUCACCAAGGCGACGACGGGUAGCCGGCCUGAGAGGGUGACCGGCCACACUGGGACUGGGACACGGCCCAGACUCCUACGGGAGGCAGCAGUGGGGAAUAUUGCACAAUGGGCGCAAGCCUGAUGCAGCAACGCCGCGUGAGGGAUGACGGCCUUCGGGUUGUAAACCUCCUUUAGCAGGGAAGAAGCGAAAGUGACGGUACCUGCAGAAAAAGCACCGGCUAACUACGUGCCAGCCGCCGCAGUAA